AUGGAGUCUUGCUCCAUCACCCAGGCUGGAGUGCAAUGGUACAAUCUCGGCUCACUGCAACCUCCGCCUCCCAGGUUCAAGCGAUUCUCCUGCCUCAGCCUCCUGAGUAGCGGGGAUUACAGGCGUCCGCCACCACGCCUGGCUAAUUUUUUUAUAUUUUUAGUAGAGAUGGGAUUUCACCAUGUUGGCCAGACUGGUCUCAAACUCCUGACCUCAGGUGAUCCACCCGCCUCUGCCUCCCAAAGUGCUGAGAUUACAGGCGUGAGCCACUGUGCCUGGCCGGGAUGUUUUAAGAAUGAAUAAUGUUCAUGUGUAUGAAUAGACCACACUUUGUUUAUCCAUCCGUCUGUUGAUGGACACCUGGGUUGCUUCCAUCUUUUAGUGACUAUAAAUAAUGAUGCUAUGAGUAUAUGUGUACCAGUUUUUGAGUACCAGUUUUCAGUUCUUUUGGGUGUAUACCUAGGAGCGGAAUUGCUGGGUCAUACGGUAAUUCUAUGUUUAACUUUUUAAGGAACAACCAAACUGUUUUUCAUAGCAGCUGCACCAUUUUUCAUUCCCACCAGCAAUGUAUGAGCGUCCUAAUUUCUCCACAUCCUCACCAACUCUUGUUAUUUUCAGUUUUCUUUUUUUAAAUUGUAGUUACCCUAGAGGUUGUAAAGUGGUAUCUCAUUGUUGUUCUGAUUUGCAUUUUCUUAAUGACUGGUGAUGUUGAACAUCUUUUCAUGUGCUUAUUGGCCAUUUAUAGAUCUCCUUUGGAGAAAUAUCUAUUAGGUCCUUCGAUCAUUUUAAAAUUGGGUUGUUCGUCUUUGCUAUUGACUUGUAAGAAUUCCUUUAUAUUCCAGAUGCUAGAUCCUUAUCAGAGAGAUGAUUUGCAAACGUUUUCUCCAACUCUGUGGGUAGCCUUUUCACUGUCUUGAUAAUGCCCUUUGAUGCACAGGCGUAUUUCUCAAGUGAUUUUAUUCCCACAAGGCUAAACGUUACCAUAUUUCUCAUACUUCACUUUUCUGACAAAAUCCUGCUGAAAACUUUAACAAUAUUAUUGAAGUUUGGUUUGAGCCUUUUCCCCCAAUAAAACACACAGUCCUCAAGGCUUUGAUUUAAUUUAAUAAUUAAAUACUUGAAUCCCUGCACACCCUUGCACUGCUGGGGGAGACAGGGAGAUGUGAGGAGCUCUCCAGUGGCACUGCCACCUAAAGGCAACGUGGCUGCACGUGACCAAAUACGUCACUGGCUGUCAGGCAACGAAGUGGUCCAGUGGAUUCACUGGGGUGGGCAUGAUAGUUCCAACCAACCAGAGCUGGAUGCACAUGAGCCUGCACACACUCUUUAGCCCACCUGAUUGUUUUCUACUAUAAAACUCAAGGCAUAUGUAAAAUAGUCACGGAUACCUUAAGGAAGGCCCCUGUUAGGUUUAUGGUGACUUCAGGGUGGGUUGACUUCUUUAUGAUCAACCUAGACUUCCACUCCCUCCCUGGGCAAAGAGCUGGCCCAGCACUCCAAGUAGGGAGCUCUUUAUGGAUAUUGAUCGCUGCUCUGGAGAUGAGCUAGGACCAGACUGGAAGCAUGAGUUGCGGGGCUGCUGGGGUUAAACGGGAAGAGAGCAUGCUGGUGGGGGCUGCCAGGAGAGCUUGAUGAGGGAGCAGUUCUCUGAAUGGGAGACUUGUUACUUGCACACAGAGCCUUCAAUGACUGUGACAUUUUGCUCUAUGUCACAGGCUCCUGGGGCCUACAGAAAGGAGCUGGAGGUGCCUAGUGCAGGCUGGGAGGCCUCCUUUAUUGAGGUGACAUCCCUGGAUGCUGGCUUGGCGGAGGUUGGGGAGAACGCUGCCUCCCUGGAAUAGAAGAUGCCUUGGAAGCCCUGGGUGCAGGCUGGCCGACCCUGCCUGAGCUGCCUGUCUUCAUUCCAUGGCUCUGCUUGUUAGAGGAGGAAGUUAGGCAGACAUGAGUGGCGCCCACCAGCCCAGGAAUGUCAGGUGACCAUCAGGUGAUGGUCAGGCAGUUGUUAAACUGUCUCUCUGAAAUGAUCAUUGGUUGCAGCUCACACCAGGGGAAGAUGGUCUCCCAAUAAAUAAAAAAACACCUGAAACUGGUGAUCAGCAGCUUCCCGAUAAGCUCUCGAGUUGGGCGAGUGGGCUCAAGCGUGCGCACUAAGAGGCAAAAUGGCGGAUGUAUGAACUUCCUCUGGGGGCAUUCAACCAGUAAAGGAAAACCGCCCCUAGAGAGCAUGCGCACAACCUCAGUCAACUCACUACACAUGCAAUUACCCUCCUGAGUGCUGACCAACACUGCUGCAUGGGGCUGUUGAGCAACAGCCCGCCCCAAGGGAAGAACCGAGGGAGGAGAAGAGAAAACUCCAGAGCCGUGCCAACGGAUAAACCCCACGCCCAGGGCUGAGCGGUCACUUGGAUCUCUCACGUGGCGCACUCAGCCCUCUUCCAAAUUCUUUCCACUGAGGAGGCAAGGAUGGAGUUGCUGCUGACCCGUGCAGAUUUGCUGCUGGUAACAUACUCAUGGGCAAAGUCUGAAAAACCUCUUCCUGCCCUGGGCAAGGCAGAUGGGGCAGCCCAGCAGGCUGGCUUUGCCCACCGUCUCCGAUAUCAUCCAACACAGUCAGCCAGGCCACAUUCGCUGCAUCCUUUCCAGCAAGAUGUCAUUCUGAGAUUUUUGUCAUUCCUGGGCGUUAUGAGGACUGCCAAGGGACACAAUUCCAUGGGAGGAAAGUUUUCUUCUAAGCUGCAAGCCAGCUCUGGCUUCUGGAGUUUCUCCUUAGGAUUGCAAGACAGUAGUUCCCUGUCCUUUAG
rnacentral:lncRNA from 1 species